rnacentral:rRNA from 1 species
GAUGAACGCUGGCGGCGUGCUUAACACAUGCAAGUCGAGCGAAAAGACGAGGAGUUUGUGGGGUGGUCGUUUGGCGCGGGGGUGUGUAAAACGUGUGUAAACUGCACUUAUCUGACUGAUAACUUCUGGGGACUGCGGCGAAUACCGGGUAGGAUCUAUUGAUCCAUGUGGGUGAUUGGAAAAUGUCGGCGGUUGUGGAUGGUCUCGCGGCUUAUGAGCUGCAUGGGCGGGUAGGUGCGUACCAGGGCUUUGAAGGGUAGGCGGCCUAGGAGGCUGACCGGCGACAUUGCUACUGCGAGAGGGCCCAGACGCCUACGGGAGGCAGCAGUGGGGAAUAUUGCACAAUGGGCGGACGCCUGAUGUAGCAACGUCGCGUGCGGGAUGACGUGUUUCGGGUUGUAAACAGCUUUCUCAUGUGACGAAGCGUGAGUGACGGUAACGAGUAAAGAAGCACCGGCUAACUACGUG